rnacentral:misc_RNA from 1 species
GAAAUGCGAUAAGUAAUGUGAAUUGCAGAAUUCAGUGAAUCAUCGAAUCUUUGAACGCACGUUGCGCCCCCUGGUAUUCCGGGGGGCAUGCCUGUUCGAGCGUCAUUUCACCACUCAAGCCUCGCUUGGUAUUGGGCAUCGCGGUCCGCCGCGUGCCUCAAAUCGACCGGCUGGGUCUUCUGUCCCCUAAGCGUUGUGGAAACUAUUCGCUAAAGGGUGUUCGGGAGGCUACGCCGUAAAACAACCCCAUUUCUAAGGUUGACCUCAACUCAGGUGUGAUUACCCGCUGAACUUAA